rnacentral:misc_RNA from 1 species
GAGGGGAAGGUGCUGUCGGUCGUCUCUCUCACUUGAUGGACGCUGUUCGUAAAAUUGAUGGAUCCAGUUCCUACUAUUGUGUUAAAAGUCCAGUUUGCUGCAACGGUGGUCGCCAGUGUGGAUAGUACAGCACCUCAUGUUUUAGGAUGAUGACUUGAAGAUGGAGAAUGCAAGAAAUGAUGACCACGAGUUCUUAUGGUGACGUGACUUGCCGCACCAGAAAGUCAGGUUGGGUUCUGGACCUUGUCAAGGAGAGGUGUGCACUCUGCUGUACCACACAUCUUGCCUCACUUGUACGGCUGUACCAGGCUUCUCUCCUCCAAUAUCAGGAUUGCAAGUGAUUCACAACACAACUAAAGGAAGCAGGUGCCAAGAUACAGCCCAGACCCAGCCUUCCACCCCUCCUCUCUACCUCAGAAAUGUUGUUCUGAACACUGGAGUGCCAUGCUGCCCGAGACUGUGCUUACUGGCCACUACCCUGUACUUGCUUGCUGCUGCCCUGUGCUUGCUGGCUGCUGCCCUGGACUGCUCUGCUCUGUGUGCCGCUCCCCUGGACGGCUCUGCUCUGUGUGCCGCUCCCCUGGACGGCUCUGCUCUGUGUGCCGCUCCCCUGGACGGCUCUGCUCUGUGUGCCGCUCCCCUGGACGGCUCUGCUCUGUGCAUGCCGCUGUCCUGGACGGCUCUGCUCUGUGCGUGCCGCUCCCCUUGACGGCUCUGCUCUGUACAUGCUGCUGUCCUGGACUGCUCUGCUGUGUGUGCAGCUGCCCUGGCCUGCAAAUUUAUAGAGCCAUUAAGUUUCCAUUAAUAAAUGUCUAAAUGUCA